CUGGGGGCGUGCUUACCAUGCAAGUCGAACGGUAAGGCCCUUCGGGGUACACGAGUGGCGAACGGGUGAGUAACACGUGGGUGAUCUGCCCUGCACUUUGGGAUAAGCCUGGGAAACUGGGUCUAAUACCGAAUAUGACCUUGGGAUGCAUGUCCUUUGGUGGAAAGCUUUUGCGGUGUGGGAUGGGCCCGCGGCCUAUCAGCUUGUUGGUGGGGUGAUGGCCUACCAAGGCGACGACGGGUAGCCGGCCUGAGAGGGUGACCGGCCACACUGGGACUGAGAUACGGCCCAGACUCCUACGGGAGGCAGCAGUGGGGAAUAUUGCACAAUGGGCGCAAGCCUGAUGCAGCGACGCCGCGUGAGGGACGACGGCCUUCGGGUUGUAAACCUCUUUCAGCACAGACGAAGCGCAAGUGACGGUAUGUGCAGAAGAAGGACCGGCCAACUACGUGCCAGCAGCCGCGGUAAUACGUAGGGUCCGAGCGUUGUCCGGAAUUACUGGGCGUAAAGAGCUCGUAGGUGGUUUGUCGCGUUGUUCGUGAAAACUCACAGCUCAACUGUGGGCGUGCGGGCGAUACGGGCAGACUGGAGUACUGCAGGGGAGACUGGAAUUCCUGGUGUAGCGGUGGAAUGCGCAGAUAUCAGGAGGAACACCGGUGGCGAAGGCGGGUCUCUGGGCAGUAACUGACGCUGAGGAGCGAAAGCGUGGGGAGCGAACAGGAUUAGAUACCCUGGUAGUCCACGCCGUAAACGGUGGGUACUAGGUGUGGGUUUCCUUCCUUGGGAUCCGUGCCGUAGCUAACGCAUUAAGUACCCCGCCUGGGGAGUACGGCCGCAAGGCUAAAACUCAAAGAAAUUGACGGGGGCCCGCACAAGCGGCGGAGCAUGUGGAUUAAUUCGAUGCAACGCGAAGAACCUUACCUGGGUUUGACAUGCACAGGACGCCGGCAGAGAUGUCGGUUCCCUUGUGGCCUGUGUGCAGGUGGUGCAUGGCUGUCGUCAGCUCGUGUCGUGAGAUGUUGGGUUAAGUCCCGCAACGAGCGCAACCCUCGUCCUAUGUUGCCAGCACGUCAUGGUGGGGACUCGUAGGAGACUGCCGGGGUCAACUCGGAGGAAGGUGGGGAUGACGUCAAGUCAUCAUGCCCCUUAUGUCCAGGGCUUCACACAUGCUACAAUGGCCGGUACAAAGGGCUGCGAUGCCGUGAGGUGGAGCGAAUCCUUUCAAAGCCGGUCUCAGUUCGGAUCGGGGUCUGCAACUCGACCCCGUGAAGUCGGAGUCGCUAGUAAUCGCAGAUCAGCAACGCUGCGGUGAAUACGUUCCCGGGCCUUGUACACACCGCCCGUCACGUCAUGAAAGUCGGUAACACCCGAAGCCGGUGGCCUAACCCCUCGUGGGAGGGAGCCGUCGAAGGGUCAUUCCG
rnacentral:rRNA from 1 species